rnacentral:snRNA from 1 species
GGAUGUGAGGGCAAUCUGGUUCUGACCUCCAGGCUUGACUCUGCUGACUCGUAGGCCUCCCCUUCCUCCCUCACUGCUCCAUGUGCAUUAUUCCCGAGGCUGUGUGCUCGGUUGCAGGGGAGGACCACCCGCAUACAGGAGGGCUGUUUCCUUGGUCAAGGGUAUAUAAGUAGCUGUGCUCCCCUGCAGAACCUCCAAACAAACUGAACUCUUUGUGCCCCCUCCAAUUCAUAUACUGAAGCCUCAACUCCCAAUAUAACUGCAUUUUAAGGCAGGGAAUUUGUGGAGAAAAGUUAGUAUUUUUUU